CGUGCAAACGUGUUUUUGUUGUCGUUAUGGUUACAUUUUACCAUUUGUGGAUAUGUCACUAUGGAAGUUACAGUGGAAGAGCUUGUACUUCUAGGCUAAUUUGCUGUUGAUCAGCUGUUGCCAGGUGUGGCUGGACAGGGCUUAGCCGGCUGCUGCUUGCUCUCCAGAAGAACCCCCUUUGGACUGAAGUAGGAAAGCUUGAUGCAGGCUGUUCAGGCUGGAACAGUGUCCCGGUGACUGCAGUCCGACUUCAGCCCGAUUUGACAUUGGGAGAUUCUCCAUAAUUCACUACUUCCCAAAGUACCUGAAAAGACAAUUUACAAAAGAGGAACUUGGCUCAUCGACUGAUACACGGAAAACAGGUCCCCUACACUCCUGCCUAAUAUCACCACCACUUGGUUCCAAUGGCCCAGGAAAAUUCCUCAAGUUCACUACCAGGGCUACAAAUGUGCCAAGGUAAUGGCGACUAUUAAAGGGCUUCCCAUCCCCAUCCCAUCCAUGCCCUGCUCCAAGUCUGCAUCUGGUAAACAUCCUACAGGAGUGCCCCAAGCCCUCCUAAGAGAAGUCUGGGCUGACCCUGAGGCCGGGUAGGCCCCUCCCCUGCCCUUUCCCCUAAAUACCCGCUCCCCCCACCCUCUUCCUUUUGCCAAACCACUUUCCUUCCCCCAGGGUCCUUAUGGGAGGAUCCUUAUCACCUUCCACCCAUUGCCCUGGGAGUUCUCUGAGAGCCCAGACCAUUCCGUAAAGAUCUUUCUUAACCUUGGAAACACUCCUGGAGAAGACAGUCUUCAACUUCCCAAGGGGCCCAGCAAAGCAUCACCUGGAUCCAUGUCUGUGCGUGAGUGGGUGCGGGAUGAUGGCCCGAGAGCAGAUCAGUCGGCAGAGAAUGCUGGUGGCUGAGGGCGGCAAGAGCUAUCGGGAGCUGUAGCACCAAGAACUGCUAGAACCUGGUGGUUACUCAGCAGCCUGUGGCCUGCAUUCUACUUUCCCCCACACAGGCCCCUGAACUGCUUGGGAAGCAAUGCAGCACACAUGGGAGGGAACCACAGGCCCCAAAGCCAGUGAGAGCUGGGGCCCAGAAGGCUGCCUUUGUCCUGGAAGAGGAGCUCCUUCCCCUUUCUCACCUGGCAGAGGAGCCCAGGGUGGUGCUACGAUCCCUGGUCAAACUUCCUAGGGAUUAGAUUUGACCGCCCCCUCACCUCCCCCUUAUCCCCCUCCCAACCAGCAGGAGGACUGUGAACCUCAUUACAGAAUUCAGUCACAUUGAGGUGAGGCAACAGAUGUGUUCUGUUCUCCUCUGAGCUUUUGUGAUAAAAUUUUCUGCACCUUAAGCUAUUUAUUAUGCAUUUUUUUCAAAAUAAAAGUAGAGGGGAUAGUAUAAAGAGUCCCAUUUACCCAUCAUCUAGAUUUAACCAUUAACAUCUCACCAUAUGCUAUAGUCUGAGUGAUUAUGGGCCCCCCGUCAAUUCAUAGGUUGAAAACUGACCCUGAACAUGAUAUUAGGAGGUGGGACCUUUGGGAGGUGAUUAAGUUAUGAGGAUGGGGCCCUCAUAAAUGGGUAAGCGCCCUUAUAAAAGAGAUCCAAGUGAGCUCUCUCACCCUGUCUGCCACCAGAGGUCACAGUGAGAAGACACAAUCUGCGAACCAGGUGGCAGGCACUCAUUAAAUACCAGAUCCGCCGGCACCCUGACCUUGUAUUUCCAGCCUCCAGGACAUCGAGAAGUAGAUUUUGUUGUUCAUAACCAGACUACAUUAUUCUGUUAUAGGAGACCGAGUGGACUAAGACACCGUAUUUGCUUCAUGAGGCUUUUUUUCUUCAGUAUUUUAAAAUAAAUCAUAGACAUCGUAUUUCACCCCCAAAUAGUUCGGUAUGUACUUUUUGAAAGAUGAGGGUGUUGUCUUAUAUAACCACAACACCAUUAUCACAAUAUCAAAAUUAAUAAUAAAUUCCUAAAUAUUUUCUGAUGCCCAGUCCAAACUCAAAUUUCCUUGAUCUAUGCCAAGAUAUCUUCUAUAGUUGGUACGUUUGAAUCGGGAUCCAAACAAGGUCCACACAUUGCAUAUGGCUGUUAUGUGUCUAGCUGCUUUAAUGUAAGAGAAUCACUUUGAAGUAUUCACCAGUGGGUGGUUCUCACCCGCCCCUCUGUCCUGGGCUUCAGCGAAUCUCUCCAGGUAUACCCCGAGGGCCCUUCCCAGCAGUCCAGGCCACCAGACCUGGACUGACUGGGGUCUGGACGAGGCAGCCUUGGCAUGCAACCAGAAACACGCGGUUUCAAAAUUUCAGCUAUGAAGCAUGACAUUUGGAAAAAUGUACGAUGAAAUUUCUGUGCCCUGGCUCCGGACAAGAUACAGCUUCUUCCUGGAGGAGGGAGAGAGAAGAGGGAUGCCAGGGUAGAAGCGGAACUGAGAGGGAGAGCACUCCACGGGUCAUGGGCCCGGGCAAAGGGGCUCUAUCUGUCCUUUGUGCCGAGGAGCUGGGCAGCUGGCCACCUCGGGGUCCUCAGCUGAGCACUGCCCUUGAUAGUUCCUUUUGCUUGUUCGGUGGGAGGGACACCCAUCUCUUCCAGGGGAGCUUUGCAGCCAAAGGGCCACAGCACAGGGAUGCUCCCUGCUUGGGGAGGGGGACCCCGGCUACCUAGAGGGUUGGUGGUGCUGGGAAGGGGGCCUCUCCCAUCCCCCCUCCACCCCAGCAGGCCAGCACCGUGGUAAGGGCGUCCAGUGAGCAGGGCCAGGUGACACGCACCCUCUCCGUCUCUGUAGGGCUGCCUGGUCAACGGCAUCCUUGCGUGCUCCCUCUGAGAGUUCAGCCAUAUGCUAGGUUGAUUUCUUCCAAAUCUGAAACUUUGAUCAAAGAGUAGCAUUUCUUAUGUGGGGGGAGAGUGCCUGAAGCCUGAGCUUUGUCCCCCAGCACUAUAUUCCAGCUUCAACUAUGCCCUAAACCCCUUGGACCAGAACCGUGUUUGUGAACCCCUAGAGAAGCGGCCCCCGGAGACCCUGGAGCCAGAGUGGAGAGGGUGUGAGCCAACACCCAGAUGACAGCUGUUCUCUUGGCCUUCCGGAGUCCUGGCUGCCUUCUGUCUGCGCCUGUGUGAAAACUGGCUCCUGAGGGAAUACUCAUCUUCUUUGAUGACCAGGAAUCCGCCUCCACCUUCACUGGGGAGCCCCGUGAAAGCCUCAGAAAAUAUCUUCUGUGUGUCGAAUGAUGAGCAAGGACC